rnacentral:rRNA from 1 species
GGUUAAGCGACUAAGCGUACACGGUGGAUGCCCUGGCAGUCAGAGGCGAUGAAGGACGUGCUAAUCUGCGAAAAGCGUCGGUAAGGUGAUAUGAACCGUUAUAACCGGCGAUGUCCGAAUGGGGAAACCCAGUGCAAUUCGUUGCACUAUCGUUAACUGAAUACAUAGGUUAACGAGGCGAACCGGGGGAACUGAAACAUCUAAGUACCCCGAGGAAAAGAAAUCAACCGAGAUUCCCCCAGUAGCGGCGAGCGAACGGGGAGCAGCCCAGAGUCUGAAUCAGCUUGUGUGUUAGUGGAACGGUCUGGAAAGUCCGACGGUACAGGGUGAUAGUCCCGUACACCAAAAUGCACAGGCUGUGAACUCGAAGAGUAGGGCGGGACACGUGGUAUCCUGUCUGAAUAUGGGGGGACCAUCCUCCAAGGCUAAAUACUCCUGACUGACCGAUAGUGAACCAGUACCGUGAGGGAAAGGCGAAAAGAACCCCGGCGAGGGGAGUGAAAAAGAACCUGAAACCGUGUACGUACAAGCAGUGGGAGCACCUUCGGGUGUGACUGCGUACCUUUUGUAUAAUGGGUCAGCGACUUAUAUUCUGUAGCAAGGUUAACCGUAUAGGGGAGCCGCAGGGAAACCGAGUCUUAACUGGGCGUUAAGUUGCAGGGUAUAGACCCGAAACCCGGUGAUCUAGCCAUGGGCAGGUUGAAGGUUGGGUAACACUAACUGGAGGACCGAACCGACUAAUGUUGAAAAAUUAGCGGAUGACUUGUGGCUGGGGGUGAAAGGCCAAUCAAACCGGGAGAUAGCUGGUUCUCCCCGAAAGCUAUUUAGGUAGCGCCUCGUGAACUCAUCUUCGGGGGUAGAGCACUGUUUCGGCUAGGGGGUCAUCCCGACUUACCAACCCGAUGCAAACUACGAAUACCGAAGAAUGUUAUCACGGGAGACACACGGCGGGUGCUAACGUCCGUCGUGAAGAGGGAAACAACCCAGACCGCCAGCUAAGGUCCCAAAGUCAUGGUUAAGUGGGAAACGAUGUGGGAAGGCACAGACAGCCAGGAUGUUGGCUUAGAAGCAGCCAUCAUUUAAAGAAAGCGUAAUAGCUCACUGGUCGAGUCGGCCUGCGCGGAAGAUGUAACGGGGCUAAACCAUGCACCGAAGCUGCGGCAGCGACACUAUGUGUUGUUGGGUAGGGGAGCGUUCUGUAAGCCUGCGAAGGUGACCUGUGAGGGUUGCUGGAGGUAUCAGAAGUGCGAAUGCUGACAUAAGUAACGAUAAAGCGGGUGAAAAGCCCGCUCGCCGGAAGACCAAGGGUUCCUGUCCAACGUUAAUCGGGGCAGGGUGAGUCGACCCCUAAGGCGAGGCCGAAAGGCGUAGUCGAUGGGAAACAGGUUAAUAUUCCUGUACUUGGUGUUACUGCGAAGGGGGGACGGAGAAGGCUAUGUUAGCCGGGCGACGGUUGUCCCGGUUUAAGCAUGUAGGCUGGUUAUCCAGGCAAAUCCGGAUAAUCAAGGCUGAGGUGUGAUGACGAGGCACUACGGUGCUGAAGUAACAAAUGCCCUGCUUCCAGGAAAAGCCUCUAAGCAUCAGGUAACAUCAAAUCGUACCCCAAACCGACACAGGUGGUCAGGUAGAGAAUACCAAGGCGCUUGAGAGAACUCGGGUGAAGGAACUAGGCAAAAUGGUGCCGUAACUUCGGGAGAAGGCACGCUGGUGUGUAGGUGAAGUCCCUGCGGAUGGAGCUGAGACCAGUCGAAGAUACCAGCUGGCUGCAACUGUUUAUUAAAAACACAGCACUGUGCAAACACGAAAGUGGACGUAUACGGUGUGACGCCUGCCCGGUGCCGGAAGGUUAAUUGAUGGGGUUAUCCGUAAGGAGAAGCUCUUGAUCGAAGCCCCGGUAAACGGCGGCCGUAACUAUAACGGUCCUAAGGUAGCGAAAUUCCUUGUCGGGUAAGUUCCGACCUGCACGAAUGGCGUAAUGAUGGCCAGGCUGUCUCCACCCGAGACUCAGUGAAAUUGAACUCGCUGUGAAGAUGCAGUGUACCCGCGGCAAGACGGAAAGACCCCGUGAACCUUUACUAUAGCUUGACACUGAACAUUGAGCCUUGAUGUGUAGGAUAGGUGGGAGGCUUUGAAGCGUGGACGCCAGUCUGCGUGGAGCCAACCUUGAAAUACCACCCUUUAAUGUUUGAUGUUCUAACGUGGGCCCCUGACCGGGGUUGCGGACAGUGUCUGGUGGGUAGUUUGACUGGGGCGGUCUCCUCCCAAAGCGUAACGGAGGAGCACGAAGGUUAGCUAAUCCUGGUCGGACAUCAGGAGGUUAGUGCAAUGGCAUAAGCUAGCUUGACUGCGAGCGUGACGGCGCGAGCAGGUGCGAAAGCAGGUCAUAGUGAUCCGGUGGUUCUGAAUGGAAGGGCCAUCGCUCAACGGAUAAAAGGUACUCCGGGGAUAACAGGCUGAUACCGCCCAAGAGUUCAUAUCGACGGCGGUGUUUGGCACCUCGAUGUCGGCUCAUCACAUCCUGGGGCUGAAGUAGGUCCCAAGGGUAUGGCUGUUCGCCAUUUAAAGUGGUACGCGAGCUGGGUUUAGAACGUCGUGAGACAGUUCGGUCCCUAUCUGCCGUGGGCGCUGGAGAAUUGAGGGGGGCUGCUCCUAGUACGAGAGGACCGGAGUGGACGCAUCACUGGUGUUCGGGUUGUCAUGCCAAUGGCACUGCCCGGUAGCUAAAUGCGGAAGAGAUAAGUGCUGAAAGCAUCUAAGCACGAAACUUGCCCCGAGAUGAGUUCUCCCUGAGACUUUAAGUCUCCUGAAGGAACGUUGAAGACGACGACGUUGAUAGGCCGGGUGUGUAAGCGCAGCGAUGCGUUGAGCUAACCGGUACUAAUGAACCGUGAGGCUUAACCUU